rnacentral:rRNA from 1 species
UACGUAGGGGGCAAGCGUUUGUCCGGAUUUAUUGGGCGUAAAGCGCGCGCAGGCGGUUUCUUAAGUCUGAUGUGAAAGCCCACGGCUCAACCGUGGAGGGUCAUUGGAAACUGGGGAACUUGAGUGCAGAAGAGAAAAGCGGAAUUCCACGUGUAGCGGUGAAAUGCGUAGAGAUGUGGAGGAACACCAGUGGCGAAGGCGGCUUUUUGGUCUGUAACUGACGCUGAGGCGCGAAAGCGUGGGGAGCAAACAGG